rnacentral:rRNA from 1 species
UCAAAACUUUCAACAACGGAUCUCUUGGUUCUGGCAUCGAUGAAGAACGCAGCGAAAUGCGAUAAGUAAUGUGAAUUGCAGAAUUCAGUGAAUCAUCGAAUCUUUGAACGCACAUUGCGCCCUCUGUUUUUCCAGAGGGCAUGCCUGUUCGAGCGUCAUU